GUACGACUCGGUCGGGAAGGUGGGCAGCGACGUUCUUGACGGAAACGUGGACAGGCUGGGCUCUUAUAGCGAGUGUCUCUCCGCCCGCGCCCCGGCCGGCCGCUUCCGGGGCCGCUACUGCAAGCUUCACUUCGCGCAGAGCCACGACGGAACUGACUACAGCGUGGGGGUGUGUGUGCCCGAUUCUUGCACUGAAGAAGACGUGAGUGCCAUGACUCAGAUGGAUAUUUUAAGGUUCAGAAAGGCUUCGUUCUGGGCUCCUCCGCUCCCUCUCUUUGCAAUGAACACUUCCUCCUCGUCUGGUCGGGGUGUGGCCCGGUGCGCCACUGGAUUGUUCCCCCUGGACACGUUUGCGGCCCUGAGUCUGUGAGUGCAGACCGCCCAGGCCCCGGGCUGCCAAGUGUGUGCUGGGCUGUUUCAUCAGCUGCUGCUCACCAUCUGCGCUCGGCUACUUCAUUUUCAUUCAUUGAAUGACAUCUGUGCGCUGCUCUCUGCUACCUUAACAAGAAAAUUCGAAUGUGUUCCAGAGGA